UCGAGAAAGACAUAAUGGUUAUGACAUUGGCUUGAAACCAGUUUUAGGGGGUUCGAUUCCUUCCUUUCUUAUUUAC
rnacentral:tRNA from 1 species